rnacentral:rRNA from 1 species
GGUUAAGCGACUAAGCGUACACGGUGGAUGCCCUGGCAGUCAGAGGCGAUGAAGGACGUGCUAAUCUGCGAUAAGCGUCGGUAAGGUGAUAUGAACCGUUAUAACCGGCGAUUUCCGAAUGGGGAAACCCAGUGUGAUUCGUCACACUAUCAUUAACUGAAUCCAUAGGUUAAUGAGGCGAACCGGGGGAACUGAAACAUCUAAGUACCCCGAGGAAAAGAAAUCAACCGAGAUUCCCCCAGUAGCGGCGAGCGAACGGGGAGCAGCCCAGAGCCUGAAUCAGUGUGUGUGUUAGUGGAAGCGUCUGGAAAGGCGCGCGAUACAGGGUGACAGCCCCGUACACAAAAAUGCACAUACUGUGAGCUCGAUGAGUAGGGCGGGACACGUGGUAUCCUGUCUGAAUAUGGGGGGACCAUCCUCCAAGGCUAAAUACUCCUGACUGACCGAUAGUGAACCAGUACCGUGAGGGAAAGGCGAAAAGAACCCCGGUGAGGGGAGUGAAAAAGAACCUGAAACCGUGUACGUACAAGCAGUGGGAGCCUCUUUAUGGGGUGACUGCGUACCUUUUGUAUAAUGGGUCAGCGACUUAUAUUCUGUAGCAAGGUUAACCGAAUAGGGGAGCCGAAGGGAAACCGAGUCUUAACUGGGCGUUAAGUUGCAGGGUAUAGACCCGAAACCCGGUGAUCUAGCCAUGGGCAGGUUGAAGGUUGGGUAACACUAACUGGAGGACCGAACCGACUAAUGUUGAAAAAUUAGCGGAUGACUUGUGGCUGGGGGUGAAAGGCCAAUCAAACCGGGAGAUAGCUGGUUCUCCCCGAAAGCUAUUUAGGUAGCGCCUCGUGAAUUCAUCUCCGGGGGUAGAGCACUGUUUCGGCAAGGGGGUCAUCCCGACUUACCAACCCGAUGCAAACUGCGAAUACCGGAGAAUGUUAUCACGGGAGACACACGGCGGGUGCUAACGUCCGUCGUGAAGAGGGAAACAACCCAGACCGCCAGCUAAGGUCCCAAAGUCAUGGUUAAGUGGGAAACGAUGUGGGAAGGCCCAGACAGCCAGGAUGUUGGCUUAGAAGCAGCCAUCAUUUAAAGAAAGCGUAAUAGCUCACUGGUCGAGUCGGCCUGCGCGGAAGAUGUAACGGGGCUAAACCAUGCACCGAAGCUGCGGCAGCGACACUGUGUGUUGUUGGGUAGGGGAGCGUUCUGUAAGCCUGCGAAGGUGUACUGUGAGGUAUGCUGGAGGUAUCAGAAGUGCGAAUGCUGACAUAAGUAACGAUAAAGCGGGUGAAAAGCCCGCUCGCCGGAAGACCAAGGGUUCCUGUCCAACGUUAAUCGGGGCAGGGUGAGUCGACCCCUAAGGCGAGGCCGAAAGGCGUAGUCGAUGGGAAACAGGUUAAUAUUCCUGUACUUGGUGUUACUGCGAAGGGGGGACGGAGAAGGCUAUGUUGGCCGGGCGACGGUUGUCCCGGUUUAAGCGUGUAGGCUGAUUUUCCAGGCAAAUCCGGAAAAUCAAGGCUGAGGCGUGAUGACGAGGCACUACGGUGCUGAAGCAACAAAUGCCCUGCUUCCAGGAAAAGCCUCUAAGCAUCAGGUAACAUCAAAUCGUACCCCAAACCGACACAGGUGGUCAGGUAGAGAAUACCAAGGCGCUUGAGAGAACUCGGGUGAAGGAACUAGGCAAAAUGGUGCCGUAACUUCGGGAGAAGGCACGCUGAUAUGUAGGUGAAGUCCCUCGCGGAUGGAGCUGAAAUCAGUCGAAGAUACCAGCUGGCUGCAACUGUUUAUUAAAAACACAGCACUGUGCAAACACGAAAGUGGACGUAUACGGUGUGACGCCUGCCCGGUGCCGGAAGGUUAAUUGAUGGGGUUAGCGGUAACGCGAAGCUCUUGAUCGAAGCCCCGGUAAACGGCGGCCGUAACUAUAACGGUCCUAAGGUAGCGAAAUUCCUUGUCGGGUAAGUUCCGACCUGCACGAAUGGCGUAAUGAUGGCCAGGCUGUCUCCACCCGAGACUCAGUGAAAUUGAACUCGCUGUGAAGAUGCAGUGUACCCGCGGCAAGACGGAAAGACCCCGUGAACCUUUACUAUAGCUUGACACUGAACAUUGAGCCUUGAUGUGUAGGAUAGGUGGGAGGCUUUGAAGUGUGGACGCCAGUCUGCAUGGAGCCGGCCUUGAAAUACCACCCUUUAAUGUUUGAUGUUCUAACGUUGGCCCCUGAUCGGGGUUGCGGACAGUGUCUGGUGGGUAGUUUGACUGGGGCGGUCUCCUCCUAAAGAGUAACGGAGGAGCACGAAGGUUGGCUAAUCCUGGUCGGACAUCAGGAGGUUAGUGCAAUGGCAUAAGCCAGCUUGACUGCGAGCGUGACGGCGCGAGCAGGUGCGAAAGCAGGUCAUAGUGAUCCGGUGGUUCUGAAUGGAAGGGCCAUCGCUCAACGGAUAAAAGGUACUCCGGGGAUAACAGGCUGAUACCGCCCAAGAGUUCAUAUCGACGGCGGUGUUUGGCACCUCGAUGUCGGCUCAUCACAUCCUGGGGCUGAAGUAGGUCCCAAGGGUAUGGCUGUUCGCCAUUUAAAGUGGUACGCGAGCUGGGUUUAGAACGUCGUGAGACAGUUCGGUCCCUAUCUGCCGUGGGCGCUGGAGAACUGAGGGGGGCUGCUCCUAGUACGAGAGGACCGGAGUGGACGCAUCACUGGUGUUCGGGUUGUCAUGCCAAUGGCACUGCCCGGUAGCUAAAUGCGGAAGAGAUAAGUGCUGAAAGCAUCUAAGCACGAAACUUGCCCCGAGAUGAGUUCUCCCUGACUCCUUGAGAGUCCUGAAGGAACGUUGAAGACGACGACGUUGAUAGGCCGGGUGUGUAAGCGCAGCGAUGCGUUGAGCUAACCGGUACUAAUGAACCGUGAGGCUUAACCUU